rnacentral:lncRNA from 1 species
UCCACCUCCCAGUGGUGCCGCCCGGAGGAGAAACCACAGGACGCCAAGACUCGCGUGUUGGUGUCAAAGCGGCGUGGGUGGCAGGGCAAGUCCUGCGCCCGCUGUCCAAGGCGCACGCUCUUAAGAUCCAGAGAGAGGAUGAGGCGGGGGUUGGCAGUGUCGGGGUCCAAGGUCAGCUCCACUGAAGGCAGAGACAGGGAGAGAUGUCCCAUGCAAGCCUUCUCCCCAGCUCCCGUCAGUUACUUCUCCUCCACCAUCCCCCCCAAAACAUGUACAAGUGGAAGCCAAACAAAAGGAAUGUGUGAACCUAAUUUGGAUCACAAUUAGAACAGAUCGACAAAUACAAUUUAAAAGACAACUGGAGAAUUUCAAACACUAGGUAUUGGAAAGAAGCAUUACUUUUUCUAAUUGUGAUUAUGGCUUUGUGGGUUUUUUUAAGUCUAUCUUUAGAGAUAACAUACUGAUAUUUAUGGAAAUAACUUAUCCAUGAUUUGCUUCCAAAUAAUCCAGUGGGAAGAAGCAGGUAGGGGCGUUUAUAAAAAUAUCAGCUGAAGGUCUAUGAUGAGAACAUAAUAUUCAUUAUGAUCUUCUCUCUACUUUUGUAUAUAUUUAAAUUUUUUCAUAAUAAAAACUUAAAAUAUGCACACUUGUCAUAAGUACUAUGUUCUAGGACUAUUCUAGGCCCUGGGAAUCCCACGGUUCAGUAUCCCUGCCCUCCUGUAGCUUCCUUUCUGGGGGGAAGGAAAGAAGAGACAAUAAAUGGUAAACAUGGACAAUAAGAGGAGUCAGAAGAGAAGGCUGUAAUUUCAAUUAGAGUGGCCAGGGAAGGUGAAAAGGCCUAGGUAUGCAUUUGAGCAAAGACAUAAAGGAGGUGAGGAAGCCAGGCAUGAAGCUGUCUAGAGGAAGCAUAUUCAAGGCUGAGGCCAGCCAGUGCAGUGCAAAUGCUCUGAGGUGGGGGUGUGCUUAGUGCAUUUCAGAAGCAGCAAAGAGCACUUGUUGUGGCUGCACAGAGUAAGCUAGAGGGAGAGCGUGAAGUGAGUUCAGAGCCUAUGAAGCCUUGAAGAACAUAGAGAGGACAUUAUUGAAUGAGAGGGGCUGUCCUAGGGUUCUGUGCAGAGGAGGGUCAUGAUCUGACUUGGUUUAGAUCCUUCCAUGGUAAAUUCUGACAUAGCUUGAUCAAUCAUUAGCAUCAUGAAUAUGUGCCCCCCUCUGCCCUCCUGCAGAGUUGGAUCCCACUCACCCCAGAGCUCUGCAGUAGUAAGAAACUCCUCCCUUCCUGUCUUCAAUCUCUUCCUGCUUUGCCUGACCCCUGCACACAAGCCCUGUCCCCAGGAGAGGUCUCUGUUUGUCUGGAAGGGGGAAUGGGGAGAGAGGCUCAUCCAGGUGACUGGUCCGCAAUUUAUGGGCCUAAAGGUCCCACUGAGGCCUGAGGGAGCCAGAACUGGGAGGCAAGGAUGAGGGGAGGGCAGAGGCAGGCAGGUAGAAGGAACCAGCCAUUCACAAAGCCCAGAGAAACAAUCAUGGGGAGGCAGUGGAUUCUCUACAUGGCCAAAUAAUGGGAAAUCACUAUCACAAGAACCAUCUUACCUUUCUCCUCUUUCUCUAGCUCUCCACGAAGAUCCUCUGAGGAGGAGAAACAAAGCAGGAUAUUCGUAAAUGACUCAGAAGAUUGUCUAUCUGGCAAUGAUGGUAAAUAUCACCUCCUCUGACAUUUACAGCCAGAUACCCCGAAGGCUGAGAGUUGAUGUGUAGACACUGGGUCAAGUGUGAGGGGUCAGGAAGGGGCAGUAUCCUAGCUCUACCUCUUCCACUUCCCUCUCUUUUGCCUGAGCUAGUCUGAGCUGAGCUCUCCUUCCUCAUCCUUCUUCUUGCCCCAGUAGCCCUCUACCCUGCCUGUCUCUGGGGGAAUCUUUGUGCUCUGGGGAGCAGGGGCUGCUGAAUGGAUUUGCCACCACCAUCUCCCUGCGCCAAUCUGUCCUUGACAGAUUUUUCUAACAAACCUUCUGGAAAGGUUUUCUAACAAACCUUUUUCUAACAAACCUUCUGGAAAGACACAUUUCCUGGGCCCCCAAACUACCAGAAACACACCAUGGCCACCAGCACUGCAUGGCCCAACCCCAAGCACAGGCCCUACCUUUGAACUUCUUGAGCAGCCCCUUUAAGACAAAGGUCUUGAGGGAAACAUUCCAGACUUUAUUCUUCAUCUCAGAAGAGACUGUGGUUGGCUUGGGACCAGGCACAUUGCUGCAUCUGCAGGACAAAGAGCCUGAGGAAGGCCCACAAACACUGUCCCACUCCCACCAGGCUGUGACAAUUAGGAUGGUAAGGUCCUCUUGGUGGGGAGAGGUAGGAAAAGAGAGGCUGAUCUUGCAGCAGAAUAUCCACAGCCAUGCAGGUGGACAUUUGCCUUAGAAGGUACAUAGGUAAGGCAGUGUGGGAAUUGGGAGUGUGAGGUCAGGGAUGAGGGGAUGAAGAGAGAGAGCUCAGUGGAAAAGGAGAAGAGCCAGCUUGGAAAGACCUAAGGAAAUCUUAGGUCCACUCACCUGCUUAGUGUGUUCUUGAAUUCCUGGAAAGAAAGAUGAAAGAAAGCCAAAUCAGCACGAGGUAACCUCCAGUUACUUUUGAGAAAAUAAAACUGACCCCUUGUGCUGCUUCCAGAGGAAUAUGCAACUUUUUUUAUUUUUAUUUUUUUAGUAGGCUCCACAAGCAGUUUAUAGCCCAAGGUGGGGCUUGAACUCACAACCUUGAGAUCAAGACCUGAUCUGAGAUCAAGAGUCAGAGGCUUGGCCAACCAAGGCACCCAGGGAUCUAGGUACCCCCAGAGGAAUAAGCAAUAAGGUGUACUACCACUCCCUACCACCUUUAUGGGCCCAGGUGUCAAUGGCUUCCUGCUGUGGCUGGUUUCUGGGUGUCUUAUCAACUCUCUGCCCACAGCUUUGCAAAUGCUCUCUUCAUUACAGAAUCAUCACUGGAGCUUUGUGCUGGGAUCCAGUGUUGCCUACCCUCUCUACACCACCCCAGAUAAGUCACAGCUCUUAUGCAAUGACUGGUUACUCAUACCAGCACCUUUCAAAUGCCUAUUCUUGACCAAUUUGUGGAUUGUGACUAUUUAUUUAUUUUGAGAGAGCCCAUGAGCAAGUGGGGGAAGGGCAGAGAGCAAGGGAGAGAGAAUCCCAAGCAGGCUCCUUGCUGUCACUGCAGAUCCAUACGGGACUUGAUCCCACCAACCAUGAGAUCAUGACCUGAGCUGAAAUCAAGAGUCUGAAGCUUAACCAAGUGAGCCACCCAACCCCCCCCUUUUUAAAGUUUAUUAAUAAUUUAUUAGUAAUAUUAAUAAAUAUUGAGAGAAUGAGCAGGGGAAGGAGGGAGAGAGUGUGACUAUUUAUUUUAAAAGGAAAUAGAAUAGAAAAUGUCAAAGUACAUCCGGUGUAGUAAAGUAUUAUUUUAUGAGACUUUUGGCAUAAGGUUUACAUCCUGGAAUAUGACAUAAGCCUUGCAUAUAGCUCUUUGGAACUCCUUUCUGUCUGCUAGAUUGGAUGUUGCUCAAUUCAUGUCGUUGAGUAAAGCCAGUAAGAUCUUUAUUGUGACUCGAGGUCAAGAAAUUUUUAUCACAACUUUUUAGAACUUUAACCCCAGGAGAAUCAGGGCAGUUUUCUCCAGUCCCCUUCUGCUUGAGUAUGUGAUCCUACUAAAUUCACAGGAUCUAACUCUGUUCUCACUGUUUAUGAAGCCUUAGGAUAAAUGAUCCAUACCUCUGGCCAAGCCAGACUCACCUGGAGAAAGUCAAGGUCAGGCUUUCGAGAUGUCUCCUGGAUCUGGCUGCUGAGCUUGGAGAGCUGGGUGAUUUCACCCUCAAGCUGAGCUAUGUUCUCAUUUUGCUUCUGUGUCACCUCCCGUGAC